rnacentral:rRNA from 1 species
GAUGAACGCUGGCGGCGUGCCUAAUACAUGCAAGUCGAGCGAACGGACGAGAAGCUUGCUUCUCUGAUGUUAGCGGCGGACGGGUGAGUAACACGUGGAUAACCUACCUAUAAGACUGGGAUAACUUCGGGAAACCGUAGCUAAUACCGGAUAAUGUUUUGAACCGCAUGGUUCAAAAGUGAAAGACGGUCUUGCUGUCACUUAUAGAUGGAUCCGCGCUGCAUUAGCUAGUUGGUAAGGUAACGGCUUACCAAGGCAACGAUGCAUAGCCGACCUGAGAGGGUGAUCGGCCACACUGGAACUGAGACACGGUCCAGACUCCUACGGGAGGCAGCAGUAGGGAAUCUUCCGCAAUGGGCGAAAGCCUGACGGAGCAACGCCGCGUGAGUGAUGAAGGUCUUCGGAUCGUAAAACUCUGUUAUUAGGGAAGAACAUAUGUGUAAGUAACUGUGCACAUCUUGACGGUACCUAAUCAGAAAGCCACGGCUAACUACGUG